CAGGUGAUCACAGGGUCAAGGUGGUCACUCUCAAGGUGGUCACAGGGUUCAGGUGAUCAUCAUCAAGGUGGUCACAGGUCCAGGUGGUCACUCUCAAGGUGGUCACAGAUCCAGGUGGUUCCAAGGUCCAGGUGGUCACUCUCAAGGUGGUCACAGGAUUCAGGUGGUCCAGGUGAUCACUCUUGAAGUGGUCAAGGUGGUCACAGGUUCAAGUGGCCACAGGUCCAGGUGGUCCCAAGGUCCAGGUAGUCACUGUCAAGGUGGUCACAGGUUCAGGUGGUUCCAAGGUCCAGGUGGUCACUCAAGGUGGUCACAGGGUUCAGGUGGUCACAGGGUCCAGGUGGUCACUCUCGAAGUGGUGAAGGUGGUCACAGGUCCAGGUGGUUCCAAGGUCCAGGUGGUCACAGGUCCUGGCGGUCACUCUCAAGGUGGUUCCAAGGUCCAGGUGGUCACAGGUCCUGGUGGUCACUGUCAAGGUGGUCACAAGGUUCAGGUGAUCAUGGUCAAGGUGGUCCCAAAGUCCAGGUUGUCACAGAGUCAAGGUGGUCAAGGUGGUCAUGGUCAAGGUGAUGCCAAGGUCCAGGUGGUCAGGGAGUGAAGGUGGUCACAGGGUCCAGGUGGUCACAGGGUCC